rnacentral:sRNA from 1 species
AUGGAAAGUGAUGAGAUGAUCCCUACUGACAUUAAGUGUGAAGGAAAAGACAUUGACUUAGAUGCCCAACUUGAUGAAGUGGCUAAACUUCCUCUGCCAAAGAAGGCUAAGACUGAGCUCAAAGUCUACAAAAGGACGAGGACUUCAACUGUUUGGUGUUACUUUUAGAUUCUUUUGAAAAAAGAUGAGGGAAAGCCUACAUGCAAAUGCAAGAAGUGUGAAAAGGAAUAUAUUGCUGCCGGAGCAGAUGUUACUGAAAAUUUGAAGCGCCAUUUGUACUGGGCUUGUCCAAGGAAAUUUGAUGUGCCAUUGAGCAUUCCUGUUUCUACAGUGGCAGAUAUGGGUAAUGUAUUUUUGAUUUAUAUGUUGAUUGCAUGAGUUCUAAGUUUUAUGAUGAUUUUUUAAAAAGAAAAUAAUAUAUAUGUUAAAAAUAUUGACAUUUCCCAUAAAGUGUCAAUAUUUAUUUUAAAUAUUAAUCAUGAAAAGGUGUAGAGAAAACUUUAAAUGGCAGAAAAGUUGCUCUAUGGACAAAGGAUUUGAGUUAUCAAAAUAGAACAUAUAGAAUAUGCACAAUAUUUUUGAGAAUUUAAAUGGAAUAAGUUGACCAGUUGGAUGCAUGGUGGUAUGGUUGACCAAUGUAAUACAAAUUAUAUGCAUGCAUAUUCAAAAUAUAAUAGUUUAUAGAUUUCGUUGGCAGACUUGGUAGACAGUAGACACUACAAUAUUAUGAACCUAUAAUUUUUGUUCUUACUACUACGCAAAUGACUUAUUUAUUUAAUUGAUUCAUUGCUUCAAUUGCUUGAUUACCCACAGUUUUUAAAUUUCUUAUUUAUAAUGCAUAGAUAAGUUUUUAAUGAGGUGAGAAAAAAAUUAUUUGACGUAGAACUUGCACAAUCACAAUUGGAAGAGCUCACUGAAGAUAAAAUGAGCAUGAAUAUCAAUAACGAUGAGCACAAGGAAGGCGCCGGGUCUUUAAUGGAACCCUCAAUCUCUUCUAAUCCAGUCUCUUAAUCAGUGAUGUCUUUUACUUUUUGAUAUGGCACUUGGAUGGUUGGACUCGGAUUUUGCCAUCAAGGAUAUAUCAAAAUGCCAUGUAAUCAUUUUGGUUUUGUAUUCUCUUAAUCUGUAAUGUCUUUUAGUUUUUGAUAUGGAACUUGGAUGCCAUGUAAUAAUCUUGGUUAUUUAUUAUGGAACUUUGACAUAUUAUAGAAACGAUAGUAUGGAGGGUGGAACCUUUUGGACUAGUAAUUUUAUUUUUUAGGAAUGAAAUAAUUAUUUGCUUUUCUUAUUAUUUGAAUUUUUAUUACUUGAUUUAUGGUUGAAUUAUGAAUUUAGAUAUAUGGGAGUUGAUAACAGGUUAUCAACUCAGUUAAGUUUAGGGUUUAAUUAAAUAGGUUGUUCGGGUCAUAAUCAAAUAGGUUGUUAAUAGGUUAUUUUUAGUCACAUUUGAAACUUAUAUUUUUGUCAAUGUCAUGACCACAAUAUAUAAGGAUCUCAUAAAGUAAACAAUGUCUGAAUAAUAAAAAUGUUUUCUAAUUUUCAUCCAUAAACCAUAUAUAUAUGAUAGUGUAUGACAAGGUAGAUUAUGAUUCAGCAUCUUUUAUUAACCCUUCCAAAUGUUUUACAACAACAUUUCACUAUCUCCCUACUGAAAUGUUUGGAUAAUCAAAUUUAAUGGUUACUAAAAUAUACUCAGAAUUAUCUAUAUCCUAACUUGAACUAUCAAAUGAAAAAAAUAAAAUAAAAAAGGGAAUAUUAUAAAAAAUAAAAAAGCAAGAAUAUAAUGCAACAUAAAAAAUGAAAAGAAUUCUAAAAUGAAAGAAAGAAAAUAAUCAAACAAAACGGUAUAUGCCAUUCAGUUAGUAAAAUGUAAACAAAAUGAUUUCGAAAUUUUGUUUGUGCCCUCUACUAAGUCCACAAUCAAAAGGAAGUUUCGCAAUAAGACGAAUAAAUGGUUAAAAAAAAAGUCAACUACUCACAAUACAUAAUAUUUACUUGAAAAAAAAUACAUCUCUCUUAGAUCCAAAGGCACGGCCGUCAAUUGUUCUCCCAUCUUGCUAAUAUCCUCGUGUUCUUUGCACAUGUACAUAACAUCUGCAGGAAAUAUAUGGUAAGCCCAAUGGGCUCCACACAAAGCACAAAUUGGUGUUGUAGAGUAGAGGCCAAAGAUGCAAAUGUUCAAUCUGAAAUAAAACCAAAUAAAUUGUGCAAGCAAAGGAAUGAUCGAGUGGCACAACCAUCCAUUGAGUUCCAUUGAUUUUCUUACAAAAUCAACUAAUUAAUGGGAUUUUGAGGAAUGCUCUGCAUAUUGAGGAUAUAACAUGAAACUUAAAUAAAAUAAAAUAAAAACUGGAUAAGCAGAAGAAGUUAAAGAGAAGUUAAUAUUUUUAUUGCAUUGGAAAUUGAAAUAGUUUCUUUGGAGUAAAACAUGGGAGAGUGGAAUUCAAGCAAUUUGUUAGGAGUGAAAUGUGGGAGUGGAAUUCAAACGUGUUAAGGUUUUUUUUUUUUUGAAUUUAAAAAAAAAAAAAAAAGAGGAGCGGCGGGGUUUUUUUUUUUUUUUACAAAUGUAGGAGUUUUGUUUUUUCAAAAUAGAACCGUGGUAGAUAAUUUUUUGACGCAACGUGGCUUUUUUCAUUAGGUUUUUUGUUGUCAAUUAAUAUCAAUUUAAGAUUUCAAACCAUUUCUUCUAAUUUAGAGUUAAAGAUAAGUUCAUUAAAUUAAGGGUAUUUCAUUAGUUGUGUUUUUUUCCUGAACGUGAGGUUUUUUCUAAGAAUAAAAUAUUAUCAAUUUUACUAUUUAGUUGUGUUUUUUUCUUUUCUUUAAGGUUCUGCUUGGGAGGAGAGAAUGGAAAGGAAUAAAAAGAAUAAUUUAAAAAUAUUCUUCUCUUCUCUUGUUUGGGAGUUUUAAUGGAGGGAAUGGAAAGUCCAUUCCCUUGUUUGGGAGUUUAAGUGGGAGGGAAUGGAAUGGGUAGGAGGGAACACUCAUUCCUCUCUAUUCCCUUAAAACCCCAAAUUUUCAUUCCCCCUGAAAUUGGGAGGAAUGGGAGGGAAUGGAAUUAAAUUUAAUGAUUUUUUACUAAAACUCCCAAAAUACCCCUAUAUAUUCAACCCUUUAUUUUAAAAUAGGGGUUUAAUAAUAAUAUUGUCAUAAAAUGAUUCCAUUCCAUUCCCUGCAUGUUGCUCCUAAACAGAAUUACUUACAUUCCAUUCAUUUUCAUUCAUUUCCAUUCCUUUAUUUUAAAACAUCCAAUCAAGGUUACUUAAUUCCAUUCCAUUCUUUUCCAUUCAUUUCCCUUACUUAAAUACAUUCCAUUCCUUUCUAUUCUCUUAUGAUCAUCUCAUUCCAUUCCAUUCCAUUCCCUUAUAAACUCUCAAGCGGAGCCUAAAAGCUCAACGUGAGAUUUUUUUUUAAGAAUCUAAUAUUUGAAACGUGUGUUACAAUAACUGGGUUAACCCUACUAUUUAAGCUUUACAAAAUGGUAAAUUUGAGGAUAUAGUGGGCAUCGAAAUUGAGGAAUCUAAACAGGAGAAGCCCUUUAAAUAAUAGUAUAGAUAUGCAUAGUUAACCCUUUUUUUUAAUUUUUUUUUUUCAAUUCAUGAAUCAUAAUUUCAUUGUUUAUAAAUGUCUAAAAUAAUUUUUUUUUAUUUGAAAAACAAUAAUCUAAAUUAAUUUAGUAGUUCAGAUUUAAAAGUAAAAUUAUAUGAAAAGUAAAAACUACCCAAGAUGAACGUUUAACCACCUAUAGAUGCGUGUUUUUAGAUAUAAAGGGUAAAAAUACUCGAUUAUGAUAGCAUUGAGUACAGUACAUAUGACUCACCUUUCACACAGACGAAUAUGUAUAACUGCUGCCUAAAUAAUACUCAAAGGGUGUACUCGAUGAUUAAGAUAUCGAGUAGCUUUAAGUAACUCGAUACUACCAAUAUCGAGUAAAGUAUAGUCGUUUCCCAAUACUGUGAUUAGCACGACCACACAGUGCUCGGUCUCACCGGAAGCGAGUUAUAUUAUUAAACUCGACACUAUGGUAGUCGAGUAUUGAUUCGAAUUUAGAUCAGUCAGACCUAGAUUUCAACCCAUCAAAAAAAUGCUUGAGUCCAGCAAACUUCGUUGUACACACUGAUUGCUAUUCGAUUGGUUUUGAUCGGUCUAUUUUAUCAAACUCGGUUAUGGUAAAAUCGAGUAAUGUUGGUAGACAGUACUUUGGAGUUUUUAGUUUCAUAAUUACAUUGCUCGAUAUCGGCACAGUCGAGUAUUUCUGACGAAUGUCCAACACAUAUGAUCAGUCGAACUGGGCUUCGACCCAUCGAAAAAAACAUGAGUCCAGCCAAACUUUUCAAACUUCUUUGUAAACAUAGAUUGCUACUCAAUUGGUGUUGGAUCGGUCACCCUUUGCAAAACUUGAUUAUGAAGGUAGCGAGUACCAUGUUACUCGAUUAUAGCAAUAUCGAGUUAUGUGGAUACUACAUAUUUGGACUAGUUAGUGUUAUUUCUAGUGUUGGAAUGUUGCACUCGACUCCCCACAGAAGUAGCGGUUUCGAUUGCUCUCGAUUCCUCAGGCUCAAGAGUGACUGCUCGGGCUCCAAACUUCGAUCCUCAACUGUAGUAAGACUCUUUCACCCUUGCUUCCCAUUCAAAUUAACUGAAAAUCCUGCAUUAAUCUCCCUCUAAAAGCUGAAAUUUUGAACUAUGCAAGUUUGGGGAUUUUCAUGAUUUUGGGUGUCGUGGUCUGAAAUGGUUCAUGGGUUUUUACAUAUGCAUGUUGUUCAUAUGAUUUGUACCCUUUAAUUACAUAAACAUAGUUGAUUUGUAAAGGAACACAUGAAUUUAGGGUUCAUGUGUUCAUAUGGAAUUUGGGGAUUUUCAUGGGUGUGGGUGUUUUGACGUGAAAUAUGUAAUGAGUUUUUUUGUAUGGAUGUUGUCCACAUGUUUUCUACCCUUUAAUUGCAAAGAACUCAUGAUUUGUGAAAAAUGGGAAAUUAGGGUUCAUUUCUUCAUAUUGGGAAUUUAGGGAUUUUGAUGAAUAGGAGUAGUUUUGAUCUGAAUUGGUUCACAUGUACCGUGUAUGCAAGUUGGUGACAUGUUCUCUAUCGUUUAUAUUCCAAAAUUUUCACAUCUAGGUAUGCAUGUUGGUUCAUUUGCCAAUCUUGUUCUAAUAGCUCAGAUUGGGGUUUUGUUGAAUUGGGUAUAAUUGCUUGAAAUUGACCACCGUCUAAAGAUUGAUGGAUUGGUAGUCACUGAUGGGUUCACAUGUUUUGUUGAAUUGGGUAUAAUUGCUUGAAAUUACACCCGCUACACAAUGUGUAGUGUGGGUUCGCAUGUUUUCCAAAUAACUUGAUUGCAUGGGCCAAUGUUCAUAUAUUUCUUGACAAUUGAUCAUUUCAAUGCAUUCAUUCAUGCCCCAAUUGUAUCCAUGCAUCAUGUAGUAUAUUCCUUAUGCAUAUGUACAGUGUGUUUUAUGUGUCUCUAACGCAUUUCUGAAUAUUGAUUUUCUGUUGUGCUUUCAUUCUAUCUCUGUAGAUCCUAGUUAUGGCUCCUAAAAAAGUCUAAAACCAUUAAAACCAAAGCCAAAAGAGUGUCUGCCUCCUCAUCUGAGCUUGCAAUUGCGUUUGAUCAAAUAAGGUUUCAAAUGGUUACAGACGAGUAAAGGUUUGAAAACGUAAUUAAGCAUAGGAAUAUUUGGCUAGAAUGACAAAUCAAUCUAGAUGAAUUACCACUUUCUGUCCAUAGGAAUCUACAGUGUUGGAACUGGUUGUCUCUGUGUAAAGAUUUACAACCCCCUCCAGCUGUCCUGAUUAGAGAGUUCUAUUCCAAUCUCCAUAUUUGUUCUGAUGAUCAUUUGGGUACUUGGAUUCGAGGUCAAAGUUUUGUCAUAACUAAGGCUAAUGUAUCCAAGGCUCUUGAUGUACCUUGUGUUUGUACACCUGCUUAUCCAUACUCGGAGGGUCCUCAUAUAUCUGAUGUCAUGACUCUUCUUUGAGGAAGAUUAGUGACAUGGGGAUUUGACCCACGAAUUAACUCGAGUGAGUUAACCGAGCUUAAUUAUAUCUUCUUUAGGAUAGCUUGUCACAACAUCUUCCCCAUCUCCGAUGUCCAUACAAUUCCUAUAGAGAGAUGUUUCUUUUUGUACGCCCUUGUCACUGAUGCCUAUAUUUGUUUUCCUUCCUUUUUCAUUCAAAUGCUUGCUAAGGCGCAUAGGAGCAAGUGUAAGAAGCAUGGUCUAUUCUUUUCAGUUUUCAUCUAUAGGGUUCUAUACUAUUUACACUUAGAAAAAUUUCCUUCCCUAGAGUUGGUCCACAUCAUAGCCCCUAUAGGAGCCACCUUUCUCAGACAGCAGAGUGCACAAAAGAAGAAUGUUGGACCGAGUGUUGGUUCAUCAAAAAGACCACGAGUACAGUCCACCGCUAUAGAUGUUCAUGCUGAGGAGAGUCCUGUUGAUCCUACAGCUGCUGUUGCUGACAAUGGUGACGUUGAGGUACAUGUUGAUAGCGCAGCUGUAGAGCCCACUGUUCCUCCUCCUCUCUCUCUUCGUGCUAUGAUGGAGACCUUUAUGACAACUUAA